rnacentral:rRNA from 1 species
UGGGGAAUAUUGCGCAAUGGGGGAAACCCUGACGCAGCGACGCCGCGUGGGUGAUGAAGGCCUUCGGGUCGUAAAGCCCUGUCGUAGGGAAAGAACUGGUUGCAGGCUAAUAUCCUGCAGCCUUGACGGUACCCUACAAGAAAGCACCGGCUAACUCCGUGCCAGCAGCCGCGGUAAUACGGAGGGUGCAAGCGUUGUUCGGAAUUACUGGGCGUAAAGAGCGUGUAGGCGGCUGACCCGAGUCCGGUGUGAAAGCCCGGGGCUUACCCCCGGAAGUGCGCUGGAAACUGGUCGACUAGAGUAUGGGAGAGGGAAGUGGAAUUCCUGGUGUAGCGGUGGAAUGCGUAGAUAUCAGGAAGAACACCUGUGGCGAAGGCGGCUAGCUGGGCCAGAUCUGACACUCAUCCGCGAAAGCGUGGGGAGCAAACAGGAUUAGAUACCCCCGUAGUCCCUGAGCGGGCUGGCAAGGCGCAU